rnacentral:rRNA from 1 species
UACGUAGGGGGCAAGCGUUGUCCGGAUUUAUUGGGCGUAAAGAGCGUGUAGGCGGCUAGAUAGGUCCGUUGUGAAAACUCGAGGCUCAACCUCGAGACGCCGAUGGAAACCAUCCAGCUAGAGUCCGGAAGAGGAGAGUGGAAUUCCCGGUGUAGCGGUGAAAUGCGCAGAUAUCAGGAGGAACACCAAUUGCGAAGGCAGCUCGCUGGGACGUUACUGACGCUGAGACGCGAAAGCGUGGGGAGCAAACAGG